CAGGAAACUUCCUGACACAUCACUCCUUCUGAUCAUCCUGACCUAGUAUAGCUGGAAGAGUUUAUUUCCUGUGGCACUUAAUUCACAUUUAAGUCAUAUUCUUUUAUUUUUCAAUGCAGGUACAAUGUCAACCAUGAAAUUUGUUUGCAGAAUUAGAGCUGAUGGAUAUGUUGUACUUCUUUCAAAGGUUAUCCAAAGUCCAGUGUCAUCUAAUAUCAGAACACCAAGCUCUUAUCCAAUUUCUGCUUCUCCUGUCCCACAGCUUGGGCCUGACACAGGCUUGAAAGUCUACAGUGGGCAAGAAGUAUGGGCAGGGUUGCCAAAUAAAAUACGGAACGCCCAGCUAAAUGUGAAUUCCAGAAAACAACAAAUGCUUUUAGUAGAAUUACAUCCCAAAUAUUGCAUAGGAUAUACUUAGACUAAAAAAAGCAUUCAUUGUUUAUCUAAAAUUCAAAUUUAACUGGGCAUCCCGUACUUUUAUUUGCUAAAUCUGGCAACGCCAAGUAGAAGGUCAACAUCACUUUAUUCCAUCUUGCUCACUGAUGCUGCCUCUGGCUCCUCUGGGGUUAGAUGAAGACACAGAAAGGGUAAAAUGAAGGGGAAGAAGAGCUCUUGGCGUGCAGAGUUGUCAUCUGCCACAAGUACGCUCUUUGUACGUUAAUAUGCCCAAGGUUGGUUCAUGGGAGAACCUUCAUCACUGGGAUGUUUUUGCUAUACUUUCCUUGACCUAGAAGAUGCCUUAUUUGGCUGACCGCUGACAGCUGUCCACUCAACACCUGGUUUCUGCCUGUCCACUCUGUUGGAGUCAUUUUUCAUCUCUCCUGAUGGUACUGUUGGGUUGAGGACUUUUGAAGACAUACCUAUUGACAGCUCUCUUGCACAGAAUCUGAUCUGGCCCACUGAAAACCAGAUCUCUGUUCCACCAGUCCCUGGAAAUGCUGGCCAACCUUGACUCUUUGUCCUGCUACCAGACAGACGGCUCUAGCCAGCUUCUGGUGUCAGAUUUUUUUUUCAGGUGUCAGUCAUCAAGUAUGUGACUGUUCCUGCAAAUGAUCAGUCUCUCUGAGGUUCCUUGUGAAGUCCCCCUUACUCAAUUCCGGAUAAGUGGAAGAAGAUGUCCUCUCCUCCAGCACGAGUGAUGGGGCAGGAAAAACAGCACUCUGCUGACUCUCCCCAAAGCAAUGCCCAACAGAGGCUCCUUCAGUUUCUUGGUUAAUUCUUAAGACUGGAGGUAGUUAGUGGUGAAGACUGGAAGAAUCACUUUGGGGCUACCCCAUUUGCAAGCAGUGCAUGGAUUUGUAGAAUCUCUAUUUACAAAGUAGGGGGAGCUUUGUACCUUUUGUUCUCAAGUUUGGAGUCUCAACUGAAUUUCAGAGACUUAAGUCAAUUUUGACAAUGUAUGACAUAACUAAAAUGGU
rnacentral:lncRNA from 1 species